GACGAACGCUGGCGGCGUGCCUAAUACAUGCAAGUCGAACGCUUCUUUCCUCCCGAGUGCUUGCACCCAAUUGGAAAGAGGAGUGGCGGACGGGUGAGUAACACGUGGGUAACCUACCCAUCAGAGGGGGAUAACACUUGGAAACAGGUGCUAAUACCGCAUAACAGUUUAUGCCGCAUGGCAUAAGAGUGAAAGGCGCUUUCGGGUGUCGCUGAUGGAUGGACCCGCGGUGCAUUAGCUAGUUGGUGAGGUAACGGCUCACCAAGGCCACGAUGCAUAGCCGACCUGAGAGGGUGAUCGGCCACACUGGGACUGAGACACGGCCCAGACUCCUACGGGAGGCAGCAGUAGGGAAUCUUCGGCAAUGGACGAAAGUCUGACCGAGCAACGCCGCGUGAGUGAAGAAGGUGUUCGGAUCGUAAAACUCUGUUGUUAGAGAAGAACAAGGACGUUAGUAACUGAACGUCCCCUGACGGUAUCUAACCAGAAAGCCACGGCUAACUACGUG
rnacentral:rRNA from 1 species